rnacentral:rRNA from 1 species
CCUACGGGGUGCAGCAGUGAGGAAUAUUGGUCAAUGGACGCAAGUCUGAACCAGCCAUGCCGCGUGCAGGAUGACGGCUCUAUGAGUUGUAAACUGCUUUUGUAAUAGGGUAAACACCCCUACGUGUAGGGGCUUGAAAGUAUAAUAUGAAUAAGGAUCGGCUAACUCCGUGCCAGCAGCCGCGGUAAUACGGAGGAUCCAAGCGUUAUCCGGAUUUAUUGGGUUUAAAGGGUGCGUAGGCGGGUUGAUAAGUUAGAGGUGAAAUUCCGGUGCUCAACACCAGAACUGCCUGUGAUACUGGUGAACUUGAGAGUAGUUGAGGUAGGCGGAAUGUAUGGGGUAGCGGUGAAAUGCUUAGAGAUCACACAGAACACCGAUUGCGAAGGCAGCUUACCAAACUAUAUCUGACGUUGAGGCACGAAAGCGUGGGUAGCAAACAGGAUUAGAUACCCGAGUAGUC